UUUCUUUUCUUGUUACAUAUCUCAACCUCAGAAAUGACCUCCUCGCAAUUCUCAAGCCUUCCAUCUUCUUCUCCAAGUAAAAAGAAUUGAAAAUUAUUUAUUCACAAAGAACAAACUGGCGGAGGACAUUGCGUGUGGUGCUAGUGAGAAUCACGUGGGCAAUGGGGAUGAUAAUCAUAGCGAAGUUUUCAAUAUCAGCUUAAAGAUCAUUUAGGGGAAGUGAAGCAGAAGAAUGCAUUAGGAGAUGGAAGGGGCAGGAGGGUUCUUCAAGAUAUUGGAAAUUUAGUAACCGAACAAGCCCCACAAGGAAAGACAAAGACAGGCAAAACAGAAACAGCACUCAGUGAGUCAGUAUCCGCCGCCUCUCCUCUUUGUCUCUCCAUCACUCAAAAAACAGAACAACUCGCCCCUUGCAACUAACUUCAAUCCAAGAUCUGAAUUUCGUGCUGUAAUAGUAAUUUGGGUGUGAGAGUUUACAUAAACCUGCUUGCAGAAGUUCUGGUUAAAGAAGGAAAGAAAGAAUGAGUCAACCUAAAAUUAAAUGCUGCGUCGGUAAAUUUGAGGUGGGAAGAACAAUUGGUGAGGGUACAUUUGCAAAAGUGAAGUUUGCAAGAAAUUCUGAGACUGGGGAACCUGUGACUCUUAAUAUCCUUGAUGAAGAGAAAGUUCUCAAGCACAAGAUGGUUGAACAGAUCAACCAGGAUAUUUCCACAAUGAAGUUGAUAAAGCAUCCCAACGUCGUUCAAUUAUAUGAGGUACCCACCCUUUAUCACGUGUUUGGUCUGGUUGUUGCUCUUUUAAUUUUAUCAAGUCCUGAUUAGAACCUUAUAGAAAAUCAGUUGAGUUAUGAAUUUCAUUUGCAAAGAGUUUGGUUAAUAAUUUUGUUUGUUUUCAGGUGAUUGGAAGCAAGACAAAGAUUAUAGGGGGCACAGAGUUUUGAGCUUAUUUGAAGGUUGAGGUGGGUUAGUUUUUGGCUUGUUUUCAUUUAGAGUCAUGGCAGUUUGCUGUGAUCUUGAAGUGGAUGUCAAUGGGGAAGAGACUUUGAAAAAGCGAGGUGGGGCAAGGGUUUCAUCCACUGACUUCUGUUCUUUUCCUCUGGCUACUAUUGUCAUCACAAUUUUCGCGAGGUGAUAGACAAGGCGUUUUUCGUGUCUUUUCUUCCAUUUAGUGCUGUUGUUAUGAGGCUUAGAUGUUCAUACCUCUUCAUUUGCUCUAUUCAGAUCUUUUGAGAAGGACUAAAAGUUGCUUUUAUUUCACAUAAAUUUUACCCUUCUUUGCUGAUUAUGCAGCUCACGUUCUCUGUCAAAAAAAGCAAAUGAAGCUGACUUAGUGGAGCAGUGGAAUGACUCAAGUGAUGCUACACUAGCAGCAAGAACAUGUUGGAGAGAUUGAGAUCUGCUCACGCUGUCUUUUAGCUGAAUUCAUACAUUUGUUGAUCAAAGAGGUGGAAUCAGCAAGCUUUUCAGAGAUAUCUGAUGUGGAGACAUUUGUUAGAUGGCAAGAUGGGGAGUUAUCGUCCUUGAUUGAUGAAAGGGCAGUGUUGAAGCACUUCCCACAAUGGCCAGAACAAAAAGUAGGUGCUUUAAGAGAAGCUGCUUUCAUCAUUUGAGGACAACCACAAAGAGUCUUUGGCUUAGGCAACAAGAAGGUUGCAAGCAUUGCAAGACAGGGGAGCAUGUAUAAGCUGAAUUACUAAAACGUAGUGAUGAAAUUUGAUAGUAUAAAUUAAUAUUAUUGCAUGAAUAAAUAUGAAACUUGCAAGUUGGCGCAAAUUGUUAACAACACAGAAAGAACGAGAGAAAGUAGCAGUAAAAGAUACAGGGAUUUUCAGAUCCCAUGGGAAUGGAUGUUUGAUACAGGACUCAUUGGCUAGGUCCAUUAACGAAUGUUUGCAACAACUGUUACUUCAAGGAGUUGGAUUUGCCAAUAAAGUACACCAGUUUGCAGGUGGGUUUGACACAAAGAUCAUAAAUGCAUUUGAAGAGCUAAAGAAAGUGUUUGAAUUUUCUAAUGCUCUCCUUGCAUUUAGGUUUUGGGGAUUUCGAAUGUUGAAUUAGUAGGUCAUCAAUCUUAGAUGAUUUGUAUAGACAUCCACUACCAUUGUACCAAACAUUAUAUACCGAGUUACAGCAAUAAAAAGUUUGACAUGUCUUAGCUUCAA